rnacentral:snRNA from 1 species
AUACUUACCUGGCAAGGGAGACACCGUGAUCAAGAAGGCGGUUCACCCAGGGCGAGGCUCAGCCAUUGCACUCGGCUGUGCUGACCCCUGCGAAUUUCCCAAAUGUGGAAAUCUCGAUUGCAUAAUUUCUGGUAGUGGGGACUGCGUUCGCGCUCUCCCCU